AACGGUAUGUCUCAUAUCAUUUUCUUCUUCUAUUAUUGCUUUGGUUUCUUUCAACUCAUCAUUAAUUGACUUUUUAGGGAAUGAAAAUACUUCCGUGCCAGAGCAUCAGAGUUUUUUGGCUCAUUCAAAUAUUAAUGACGAAAUAAAUGUGAUCCCUCAAAUAAUCAAUCCACCGAAUGAUGCGCUUUAUGUUUUACCAACUUAUGAAGAGCCUCGUCAAAUUCAUGACAUUACACCCUCUUGUUUUGCUAUGACCCAUGAACCUCAACCGCAAAAUCAUCAAUUGUAUGGAGAAUUUUUUUCUGGGAUAUCCAAUUCGAACUCAAUCUUUCAAAAUCAGGAUCCUCGGAAUGUUCCUGGUCCCUCGAACAUUGAUUCAUAUUUUGGGCAUUUUAGACAUACACGAGAGCCUCGUCAGAUUCAUUAUAUUACACCCUCUUCUUUUGCUAUGGCCAAUUGUACCUCAAC